GUGGUUGUGGGUGGGUGUCGCAUUCGACCCGGGGUUUUUGCUUAGUUUCAGCAUUUUGUACCCUUGAAGUACUUUUUAUCACAGCCAGGCCUGCUGAGCUCCUGAGGAGGCUGCUGGACAUGCCCUAGCCGCCACCGCUGACAGCACCAUGAGUGUGCAGGAGAUGAUGAAGCGUUUUGAGGAGACGCGCGUGUCGGACAGCGCGGCUCCGGCCGGCCCCCGGCCCCGCGGCCAGGUGGCCCGCCGCACGGCCAGCUUCCGCACCACGGCGCCGCUCCAGCCGCGCCUCCGACACCGCAACAGCGAGGGACGCAUCGGGCUGACGCGCUCGCGGCCGGUCAGCGCACACGUCAGCCCGCUGCUGCGCGAGCGACCGGCCGUGCUCAAACGGAACGCAGCGCUCAAGGCGCGUGUCAGCGACCGCGUGCGCGACAUGGAGCGGCGGCCGUCGGCGGAGCGGGCCGCAGAGAGCAAAGACUCGCCGUCGCCGCCGCUGCCAGUGAAGGCCAGCCAGACGAAUGGUGAGGUGACUGGUAGUAGACCGGCGCAUCGGCCGCUAACCCGUGUGACGGCCGCUGAUCCCGCACCGCGACCGGUGACAGCUCCCCCUGUGAACCAUGUGUCCGUGGUGAACCACGCCCCCGCCGUGAGUGCCCCCGUGAAAUCGGCACAGGACCCUGACAAUAACAACGGGCCGGUAAAGCCGGGCAGGCUGAACCGGCGCACGGUGAUACCGACGGCGGCGACACAGGGUCUCACCGACGACUUUUCGUCGCUUCCCCUGCCGACCGGGCCGCCGCCGCGGAAGCCACCACGCACCUUCGCUCACGACGUGUACGUGCAGGCGCGUCAGAGCUCCGCGGCCGGGGCAGAGACCGCGGCUGUAGGAGCGGGAGCGGGGGUCGUGCCGGCCGCAGCUGCCGCGGCCACCACGGUGACCAUCCGCCGCAGCAGCUCGGGGCCGCGGCCGGCCAUCGCGCGGAAGCCGAGUGACCUGGGCCGGCGCCGGUCCGGUCGCCUAGAGACGUUCCAGCCGCUGCCGGCGCCGGCAGACCCUCCGGCGUCCUCAGGGGACUCUCCGUCCCCAGCCGAGCACGUGUACGCUGAGCCGACAGUGCCGCGACGCGAGCUGCCGCCGCCGCCCCCGUCCCCGCCGCCGCCACCGCCUCCCGGCAGGAACCGGCGGCCGGCGCGCCAGGGGCCCGUGGAGCCAUACGCAGUGUCCUCGCCCCUGCGGAGGACGGCCAGUGAUGAGACCCUGUAUGGAACGCUGAGUCGGGAGCAUGUGUACGAGCGACUGCCGAACGCCAAGACGCGGCCCGUCUCCGCCUCCAGCUCGGCGGGCUCCCCUCCCGGUCUCCGGCGGCACCACGCCUUCAAGCGGCACGAGCGUCCGUCUCUGCGACAGCCCCCGGCUCGACCGCCGCCUCCUGCCCUGGCGCGUGUCCAAAGACAGGCGGAGGGCCGGAUGGGCUGCCUGCUGACCGCUGUGUCCGCGGACGGUGACCCGACGGACCCCGAGCAGCGCUCCGAGCGCUGGAAGGCCGGCCCGCUGGCGCUCAGACGGAAAAAACUACCUCCGGCGGGUCAGCACUCAGAUGGGCGGCUCGCGGCCCCGGCUCUCGGUCAGCCCUCCGGAGCGGCUGUUUGACGCUCUGCUCGUGGUGGCUCUCUCAGCGGACGCCGAGGGUCGACUGGAACCCUGCGUCGUCAGCCGGUACCCGCCCGAUGUAUCUCUGGAGGCAGACGUGGCGCCGUUCUGUUUCCCGGACGCGGCGCGGUGGCAGCGCGCGCCGGACGUGUGGGGGCGCUCGGCGGCCGACGGUGGCGCCGCCUACACCCUGGUGGUGACAGACCAGCACGGC
rnacentral:misc_RNA from 1 species